UCUGUCCAAGUCCGGCUCUGCUUUCCUGGAAAAAGAGUGAUUUUACCAGUUGACAAGUUGACAAGUUGACAAGUUGACCAAUUAAAAUCAAUUGUGGCGAGCCAAGAAACUUCGCCCAAUACUUCCAAAACUUCAAGACCCAUAAGUGACAAUUGAGUCUUCGAUGGCUUCAACUCCAACACAACCACAAAACCCAUAGGUCUCCACAUCUCUAUUCUAUAUAAAUGCAUACAAAUGAGGUACACUCAUCAGUAAAUUAAAAGAGAGAAUCAAGAUGGCAUUUUCUAAAGUAUCUUUCAUGCUUGUCUUUCUCCUUCUCGUUCUUGUGUUUCCCCAUAUGGAUAAAGCCCUUGGUGAACAAAUGCAGCACCGCAAACUUAAAGAGACGGAACAUCCAGAUCAACUGGUGACAGUCCAAAGGCGCGUUCUUCGUUUUGGUUUUUUAAGGGGACGAUGGUGCAUAAAAAAUUGUAAAAAAGGCUCAGAUUUUCUAGGUAGUUUACCUAAGCCCCCUUCACCGCCUCCUAGGUUUCCCAAAGGUCGUUUACCUCCUCCUCCAAGGUUUUCCAAAGGCAAAAACGUAUGAUCCCUCAAUAUUUGGAUCAAAAUAUUGUUUCACAAUUUGUCACCAUAAAUGUAAUUCUGAAAUUUUCUUGCAAAAUAAAAGAGCAUCUACAACUUGUGAUGAUGGUAUGAUAUGUUGUUACAAGUUUUAAGCUAAUUUAUAAAUGUUUUUGUUUAAUAGUUGGAAAUAAAGUUUAUCUAAACCUUA